rnacentral:lncRNA from 1 species
GAAGUGAAUAGGCGAUGAUACUAUAGGGGGGUUAAUUAAUUUUUUCAAAGGUAAUUUUGAAAGAAUUAAAAGUUGGAGGAGUGAAUUAAGGAUUGAAUUGAUUAAAUUUGAAAUCAAGAACUAUUUUUUAAAUUAUGCAAAAAUCCAGGGGUCCAAUUGCAUUGAUCCAGGGGUGAAAUUAAAAAACAAAAGAGAGAAGAUUCUCAAAAGUAAGGACUGGAUUGCAAAACAUCAGAACGUCAGGGGGCAAAAUGAAGAAUAACAGUCCUAGCCUAAAAUGGCGUCGUUCCAAACACUAGGCAUUCUCCUAUUCCUCUGCAAGCAGGGGAAGUCCGUUCGGUGAUGCCUCCGAAAUGGCUUCGGCUAGAACAAUUACCCUCAUCAAUCCCAUCAAACCCAGACCAAUUCUACCACAGAACCCAUAGGAUUUGGUUCGGUAUCCCUCGCCCUCGCGACUCUCCCCUGACAUGAAGAUAAGCAUCACCAACAGUCCAACAAUGGUAGUACUGUUGAUUUUUUGUACCCAUCAAACACGGAGCAAACCCGAGCUAUGUUUAUCUUCAUCCAUGAGAUCGUCAUCCUGGGAGAUAAGGGAUGAAGUUCGUGGAUGAAAUCCAGCCCUAUAAAAGCAGAGGCAGAGAGCAGACCGGGAGGUCAUCGCCGAGGCGCCACCCGAUCAAACAGACGCAGCAUCACCAUCAGCUUCGCCUCCAACAGCAACACACCGGGCAAGUCUUCUUCCCUGCUUUUGGCAAAUUUAAUUACCGUGUUACUGUGGCAAGCAUGAAUAAUUGGUUAAUGACAUUGACCAGCUUGGUCUCUAGGCUGGGAAACUGACAAAGAGGGGUCGGCUGGAUAAGUCCAGCUAGUAUGGAAGGGCUAGAUUCAAUUCAUAUAUAUAUAUAUAAAAAACCGUUGAGACUGAGGCUUUGCCGGCUUAACAUUUUGGUCAGGUUUUGUUUGUCAAACAUAUUUUUAUAUAAUUUUUUUUUUAUUUUAAUAUCUAACUAAAUAAACCUUUUAAGAUAUUAGAAAAUUAGGAAAAAAUUUGGGGAACCUUUGGUAUUUAUUUGUGAGCCCCAUACAUGUUUUUUUUUAUGAUUUUACUUAUAUUAGAUUGUAGACUUAUACUGUGAAAUGCGAAUCUGGUAUAAAAUAUUCAUUGAUAUCAAAGUUAGGAAUACCAUACUUUUUUACAUAAUAUUUACCGACGCUAGAGUUGGAAGUAUUUGUAGUUGAAUAUUCACUGACACUAAAGUCAGGAAUAUUAUAGGAAGACCUUCAUAAACAUAAUACAACGAAUCCUUAACAAUUUAAGACAAAAACAACAAUGCAACUUACCUCAGGUAGGAUGCUUGAAGAGUUAUAAUAUCUUUGUUUUUGUGUAAUCAAUCUUGUACCAUAGAAUCUCUAUUGACCAGUUAGGGUUUCUAGUGACUAUAACAUUAGGUGGUGAUUUUUUAAAUCAGACAUUUUUUCCCUCUAAAAAUAAAAUAUCAUAUAUUUGUUGUUUUUUCUAGAAAUUUUAUAGCUGGUCACAAUGAACGAAAAGCUUUUGCCUCAACUUAGAUUUAUUAUGUGGAUGUAUAAGAUUAAUGUUCCUUGUACUUACUUUUCUAGCGCCCUAAAAUGUGAUUUUUCUUGGCUUAAAAGAUGAUUCUUAUAGCAAGCAAAUAUAAAGAGAGUAUAUGACCUGUAAUAAGUCACCAACUUGGACAAACAAGAUGUUUGCAAUAGGCUUGAAAGGCAUCCACUCAUCACCUUGUAGAAUUUCAAGCCCAGGCACCUGAUCAUCUGCCGGUGAAUUGUGACUAAAGUGUGUUGGGAAAAAACCAGUAACAACCAUAAACCAGUUUUGCUACAUCAAUUCACAAGUUUCAAUUCUUUUCCCUCUUUCUUUGUGCAAUCAAAAUUAGAAUCAAACAUUCGACAAGAUAAUGCAAACAAUCACACAAAUCAACACCAAGAUUUUUACAUAGAAAACCUAAUAUGGGAAAAAACCACGAGACCGUAGUCCACCUAAAAACUUCCAUCAUCAACAAAUAAUAGGUUCAUAAUUGUUCUUUCUCAGAUUUAACUAAGGGCUACAACAUUCAUAUCAUCAAUAACAAUCUAUUCUUGGAAUGAAACAAGAUUAAAGAUAAAAGUGUUUGAGAAAAACUCACAACACUGACAAUCCUGUUUUUUAUUAAAAUGACCAGCUUUCACAAUACUAAUUUUCGAUUCAAUUGUUCAAAAUGAAGAAUAACCUAUCUAGAAGUAUCUAUUCAAAUCUCAGCCCUAUCCAACAGUUAACGAGCUGGAAAACAAAUAAUGAAAACAGACGGUUCAGCUGCCUCAACUUCUUUUAUUUCUCCCGUGCUCUCUAUUAUGUUUUCUCUUAAUUAAUUCACCACAGCCGCUACAAUAAACAUUAAGUUUUUAAUUCCAAGAGACAGCCACGCUGUCUCUUGACAAUUAAUGUGGUGAUAUUUUCAUUAAAUGGUGCAGGAUCACACACAACAAAGUGGUAUCAGUAUGAUCACGCAUUCCAAAGUAGGCCCAAGAUUUGACUUUUCACAAGGUGGAUAGUAGUUCAUAGACACUUUCUGUCCAUGUUUGUCCAAUAUUUGGUCUGUAGACUCCCUUUCCAUGUCCAAGCCCUCAAAUAUAGCCUCAAGUAGUGUUAUUUCUGCCCUUCUAGCAGCUUCACUGUACUCAGAGCUACAAGCUCUCUGCAAACAAUGAAAGGCUAUAACUUAAUAAUGAUUUCUAUACUAGAAAAAAAAACAAUUAAAUUAGUCCAUCUAGAUCAAAAAACUCGAAAUCCUUUAAGUAUCACCUGAAAGAUGAAGGAUUUGUUGGCCAUAGAUCCACAUAUUCUUCCGGCGGAUGACAAUGAAAUACCAAGUAUUCCUUCGAGACGAAGACAUUCUGAGUAUUGUCCUUAAAUCCGGUCGCCGACCAUAUGGGACUGGUAUGGUCAGGAGAGUAUAAUUUCAUCUGUUCUUCCUCUGGCAGAUUAUUAUUGGUCCAGGGUUCUUCACCUGUUGCAAGUUCAUAGUGAGUUAGUACUGAAGGUAUUAUAGAUGUUGAAAGAAAAAUGUUAAUAAAUAAAUGGACUUUAGAUAUUUUUAAGUUAUCUCAGUUUAAUAGAUUUAGUUUUUAUUUUUUGACUUUAAACUUCAACAUUGAAUUCAUUGAAAAUAGACUUUUAUAAUUUUUUUAUUUGCUUUUUGUGUCUCAUAAUCUAAGCUGCGGGUUAACAGAUUAACUGAGUUAACCUGGUUUUUUUGGGUUUUUUUAUAUAUAUUUUUAAUUUCAUCAUUCAACAUUGUGUUGGUUGGAAAUUAGACUUCAUAAUAUUUUCUCUAUUUGCUUGUUAUUCGCGAGUUUGACAUAUUAACUCAUGUUGAAUCAGGUAGUUUUUUUUGUCUUUUUUAAUUUAUUUUUUUUCAAAUUUUUCCUUCAACAUUGGGUUAAUUAGAAAUUGACAUUCAUAAUUUAUUUUGAUAUGUUUUAGAUAGAGUUGUCAUAGUUUCAUGACCUGAGUCAACAUGUUAAUUAACCCAAGUCGAUUUAAUAUGAUAUCAUUUCAAUAUUUGAAACAAAAUAUCAUCCAAUAUAUCUACUAAACAUUAAACAAAAUUGUUCGGGCAUUCGACUAGUAAAUAUUAAGUAAAAAAGGUGGAAUUGAAAAGAGAGGGACCAAAAUGAAAAAAAACGUUAAACAUGGGUGGCGUGCCAUAAAGGUUUUUUUAAAAAUACAUUUAGGUCACCAAAAGUGUUGGUGUUGUGAUGUCGCGGUCGCACAAAUUAAUUACCCUAACUUCAAACACAACACACAAGAUAAUAUAGAGCAAGCAAGGGGUCGAUCCCAGGAGAAAGUUCAAGUCAGAUUUUUAUGCUAGAUGAUAUGCAAUUUGGGGGGGUUUGGACGUUGUCUAGGCUAAAGCAAAAGAUAACAGAAAAUGAUCAAAUAAAAUUUAAUAAAAUCAGAAAAUUAUCAAGAGAACAAACCUUGGUCACAAGCACACAUCCAUCUACAGAAAUCAGAACUGAUCAUGGAAACGAAACAUCAAUUUAUAUUCUGAAUAUUUAUCUCUUCUUAACAUUGGUUAGUUAACGGAUCCGCCGUAUAACUAACCCUAACCAUCAAACAACCACAGUGUCCGCACUAGUAAUUUAAUUUAAUGGCAGCCUUAAGAACUAGAUAAGUUGAUUAAUCAAGAAAACAUAACUGUCUGCAGUCUAUGUUUGAUUUGAUUGAAUGUUCUCCCUAAGAUUAAUAACGUAGAUCCGCCACAAUUAUUAAACUCAGUUGUUUCACAAGUUCAUAUACCACAACUCCGGUUUUGAUAUCAAACUUAGCAAUAGAUUGUCUACAAUAAUAACUUAGAGUCCGCUCUAGCAAUUAAAAUAAACAAUCAUAGGAAAAAUAAGCAUAGGAGAACAAACAUAUUCAUCAUAUAAACUGAAAAGAAAAGGUAAAAUAAAUCUCACAGUUCUUGAAAUCCAAAGGUUUCCGUGUCCUUGCAACCAAGAAAAAGUGUUUAGCCUUGCAUGUUUGUUGAACAACUAAUAAAAAAAAGGAAGAAUGCAUAAUUUAGGGUUUCUUAGAGGAAGGGAGCGUUUUUCUCUUCUUGGCUGGCUGGCCCCCUUCUCUUCUCUCAUUCUUUUUAUAUCUUAGGAAAUCCUAGGUCUCUAUUUUACAAAAUAGUCCUCCAUUAAGUAGACUGUUUACAUUUAAGUACUUCAAUAACUAUUUUCCUAAAAAAGGAGAAAUAGCCUUGCAUGAAAUCUUCAAGCUUUGACUUAGAGGAGCUAAAUUGCUGAAAUAAAAACUUGGAUAUUAUCUCCAAUUUACUCCUUUUUGCAUCUUUCAUCCAAAAGUGCCUUCAAAACAUAAAACAAAGAGUAUCAAGACAUUUUAUAUAUAAAACAUAGGCAAAACACUAGUUAAAUGUGGGUGAAACUAUUGAAUAAUAUGGUUGCAUCAGUUGAUGAGGUGUUUUGGAGUUAAAAUGACUUAAAAUUAAGUCUUGUUUUUGAAUAAAAGGGGCACUGCCCUGAUUUUUUGGCCACCAUGGGGUGGCCGGAAUGAUCUGGUCUUAUAGACGACACAUCAUUUGCCACAUUGCUUGUAUAUUUUGCCAUCCACCCCUUCAAUAUAUAUAUAUAUAUAAAACCAAGCCCAGGCAUGCGGGUAUAGGCUUGAAGGCCCACCAACGCUGUAAAAUCUUGAGAAUUAAAAAAAAUGAAUGUAUGAUGAAUGAUGAAGUGAAAUAAAAUGAAAUAAAAAUAAAUGAAUAUAAUAACAAAGAAAUCAAAUAAGAAAAAUACGAAAGACAUAAGGAGUGUGACUCCAAUUGUAAAGAAAAGAAAAGAAAAUGGCUCAAUGUGUAAUUAGGAAGAAUGGGGCUAUAAAUACCCAAUUUCUUCCUCUUUCAUGGCCGACUGAACACCAUAGAAAAGAGGGGAGAGAGUACAAAUUUUUCUUCAUCAAAAGAGAGGGAAAAAUACCAAAUGUCCUAGGACUAUACAAACCUAAGACCCUUAAGUAGAGAGGACACCCAUUAAGAAGGAUUUUAACAAGGAAAACAAGUGAAGAAAUUGGAGAAAAAGAGGGGAGAGGGUUGGCUGCAUACCAGAGAGGAGAGGCCAAAAAUCUUCAACUAAAUUAACUGAAAUUCUGAAAUUUUGCAAGGUAUGGACACUAGACUUAAUUUGAAAAAUAAUUUAACAAUUAAUUAGGAUAUGCACCAAUUUCAGAUUUUAUAAAUUAGGUUUCUUGAGUGAAAAUUAGGGGAAGUGUAAAAAUUGUUAGAAUGAAGUUAGUUGAGCUAACAUAAGAUGUUCUGAACAUGAAAAACAUGCAAAAUUGUUAAAGAAAAAUCAUUAACUUAAAGGCUUGAGUGGCCGACCAUGCGAGAAUUGAAUGGCGGAAGAAGGGAAUUCUAAAAUUUAUGUUGAUGAACACUUAUAGUAUGUGUAUGAUGUGAACAAUGAGUGAAUGAGGCAAGAAAAAUUGACUAAAAAGAAAAGGGAAACCUUGGUUCCCUUAGGCCAAGUUUGGCCAAGAGUCAAUUGAGGGGAGUGAAGAAGAAUUAUGGUAUAUUGUGUGUUCUUAAUGCAUAAAUUAAUUGUAGUAGAAAGCUCACUAAUAGGGAAAAACAUGAAAAAAUUGAUAAUAGAAGACUUCAUGAGUUUAAUGUGUGUUACGUGAAGCAAAGACAAAAUUGUUAACCAUGGGUAUAGCUCAUGAUUUCAGCAUUAGAGGAAUCACAAAAUGUAGGAAAAUGUAGAAAAUAAGUGUGGUAGAAGAAAAGGAGAAGUAAAGAUGACGGAAAAUUUAUUUAGGAAUUUUUGACGAAAUCUGGGCAGAUUCAUCACCCCUGUUCUAGGGGAGCUUCGAGCCUUAGAACAAAAAACUUUGGGAAACGUCUCUUCAUAGAAAUUGUAGUCAGGGAUGUUAUCUUUCCAACGAAUCUAACCUCACUUGAUUUGAAGCUUUAGAGCUUUAGAUAUAGAUAAAUGUAUGAGAAAAGGUCGAGCUGUCGUCUUUGCUAGUAGUUUCGGUGAAAUUGAUAAAAUGGGAAAGUUUAGCCUCGAUAAAGGCAGAACCUGAUUUCCUUCCCACCAGGAAUUUUGCAACGUUGUACCUUGACAUCAAAAGGGAAUAAACCACAUUUGAUAAUGAAUUUAAUAAUAUGUGUAAUGAUUUAAGAUAAUGAAACGCGAAGAGUAAAUGUUGUUAUUGUUAUUGUCUUGCUAUUUGUGAAAUGUAAAUUGAACAUGAACUAAUGUGGUGUACUUGUGGAUUCAAGAGGAACCAUGGGAGGCGUACAACAACAUCAAGGGAGCGCAAAUCGAGCUUCGGUGACAG